rnacentral:rRNA from 1 species
CCUACGGGGAGCUGCAGUGAGGAAUAUUGGUCAAUGGACGAGAGUCUGAACCAGCCAAGUAGCGUGAAGGAUGACUGCCCUAUGGGUUGUAAACUUCUUUUAUAUGGGAAUAAAAUGUUCCACGUGUGGGAUUUUGUAUGUACCAUAUGAAUAAGGAUCGGCUAACUCCGGGCCAGCAGCCGCGGUAAUACGGAGGAUCCGAGCGUUAUCCGGAUUUAUUGGGUUUAAAGGGAGCGUAGGUGGAUUGUUAAGUCAGUUGUGAAAGUUUGCGGCUCAACCGUAAAAUUGCAGUUGAAACUGGCAGUCUUGAGUACAGUAGAGGUGGGCGGAAUUCGUGGUGUAGCGGUGAAAUGCUUAGAUAUCACGAAGAACUCCGAUUGCGAAGGCAGUUCACUGGACUGCAACUGACACUGAGGCUCGAAAGUGUGGGUAUCAAACAGGAUUAGAUACCCCUGUAGUC